rnacentral:misc_RNA from 1 species
GAAAUGCGAUACGUAAUGUGAAUUGCAGAAUUCAGUGAAUCAUCGAAUCUUUGAACGCACAUUGCGCCCGCCAGUAUUCUGGCGGGCAUGCCUGUUCGAGCGUCAUUUCAACCAUCAAGCCCCCCGGCUUGUGUUGGGGACCUGCGGCUGCCGCAGGCCCUGAAAAGCAGUGGCGGGCUCGCUGUCACACCGAGCGUAGUAGCAUACAUCUCGCUCUGGGCGUGCUGCGGGUUCCGGCCGUUAAACCACCUUCGUAACCCAAGGUUGACCUCGGAUCAGGUAGGAAGACCCGCUGAACUUAAGC